GACGAACGCUGGCGGCGUGCUUAACACAUGCAAGUCGAACGGAAAGGCCCUGCCUUUGUGUUGUGCUCGAGUGGCGAACGGGUGAGUAACACGUGAGUAACCUGCCCUUGACUUUGGGAUAACUUCAGGAAACUGGGGCUAAUACCGGAUAGGAGCUCCUGCUGCAUGGCGGGGGUUGGAAAGUUUCGGCGGUUGGGGAUGGACUCGCGGCCUAUCAGCUUGUUGGUGGGGUAGUGGCUUACCAAGGCUUUGACGGGUAGCCGGCCUGAGAGGGUGACCGGCCACAUUGGGACUGAGAUACGGCCCAGACUCCUACGGGAGGCAGCAGUGGGGAAUAUUGCACAAUGGGCGGAAGCCUGAUGCAGCAACGCCGCGUGCGGGAUGACGGCCUUCGGGUUGUAAACCGCUUUCGCCUGUGACGAAGCGUGAGUGACGGUAAUGGGUAAAGAAGCACCGGCUAACUACGUG
rnacentral:rRNA from 1 species